rnacentral:rRNA from 1 species
AUGAACGCUGGCGGCGUGGAUAAGGCAUGCAAGUCGAGGGGGUGCAUCACAUUGGGUACAAUGUAAAUUAAAAUUUUACAUAGCACUUAGCGUGAUGCAUCACCGGCGAACGAGGUAGUAACACGUAGGAACGAACCUAGAAGUCAGGAAUAAUCCAUCGAAAGAUGGACUAAUACUUGAUAGUCCCGUAAGGGUAAAGACUUAUCGCUUCUAGAUCGGCCUGCGAAGUAUCAGCUAGUUGGUAAGGUAAUGGCUUACCAAGGCUAUGACGCUUAGAGGAGCUGAGAGGCUGACCCUCACCGAUGGUACUGCGACACGGACCAUACACCUACGGGUGGCUGCAGUCGAGAAUCUUCCACAAUGGACGAAAGUCUGAUGGAGCGACGCCGCGUGACUGAUGAAGUUCUUCGGGAUGUAAAGGUCUUUUAUGAGGGAUGAAGUUUAUUGACAGUACCUCAUGAAUAAGGGGUGGCCAAACUCGU